GGGCCAUUAGCUCAGUUGGUCAGAGCUACCGGCUCAUAACCGGUUGGUCCGGGGUUCGAAUCCCUGAUGGCCCA
rnacentral:tRNA from 1 species